rnacentral:rRNA from 1 species
AACGAACGCUGGCGGCGUGGAUAAGACAUGCAAGUCGCACGGAGUGCCUUCGGGCACUGAGUGGCGGACUGGUGAGUAACACGUAAGCAACCUGCCUAUCAGAGGGGGAAUAACAGCGAGAAAUCGUUGCUAAUACCGCAUAAGCUGAUAGUAUCGCAUGAUACAGUCAGAAAAGGAGCAAUCCGCUGAAAGAUGGCUUCGCGUCUGAUUAGCUAGAUGGCGGGGUAACGGCCCACCAUGGCGACGAUCAGUAGCCGGUCUGAGAGGAUGAACGGCCACAUUGGGACUGAGAUACGGCCCAGACUCCUACGGGAGGCAGCAGUGGGGAAUAUUGGGCAAUGGGGGAAACCCUGACCCAGCAACGCCGCGUGAAGGAAGAAGGCUUUCGGGUUGUAAACUUCUUUUACCAGGGACGAAGAAAGUGACGGUACCUGGAGAAAAAGCCACGGCUAACUACGUG